GAUGAACGCUCGCGGCAGGCCUAACACAUGCAAGUCGAGGGAGAAGCCCUUUCGGGGGCCGAAACCGGCGCACGGGUGCGUAACGCGUAUGCAACCUACCUUUCACAGGGGGAUAGCCCGAAGAAAUUUGGAUUAAUACCCCAUAAUAUUAUCGGAUGGCAUCAUUUGAUAAUUAAAACUGCGGUGGUGAAAGAUGGGCAUGCGUCCUAUUAGCUAGUUGGAGUGGUAACGGCACCCCAAGGCUACGAUAGGUAGGGGUCCUGAGAGGGAGAUCCCCCACACUGGUACUGAGACAGGGACCAGACUCCUACGGGAGGCAGCAGUGAGGAAUAUUGGUCAAUGGUCGGAAGACUGAACCAGCCAUGCCGCGUGCAGGAAGAAUGCCUUAUGGGUUGUAAACUGCUUUUAUAUGGGAAGAAUAAGGUGUACGUGUACAUUGAUGACGGUACCAUAUGAAUAAGCAUCGGCUAACUCCGUG
rnacentral:rRNA from 1 species